ACUCUAAUAGUUUAUUAAAACAUUGGUCUUGUAAACCAAAAAUUGAAGAAUUGUUCUUCUUAGAGUA
rnacentral:tRNA from 1 species